CAGGGCUAACCAAAAGUUAAAGCCUAUUAAUGAGGGCUGUGUCCAAACGCCUCCUAGCACUCGGUGUGUCCUGGAGCGGUAGGGUCCUGCCUCGGUCGGUGCUAGACCAGAGUGAAGUGUUAACUCAAAGAGGAAAGGGAUGUGCUCUGGGCUGGGAAAAGCUGUGCGUGUUUCUCAUGGCUGGAGAUACGAGUUGAUAACUGGGAUUGCUUUGUUUGGCUCCUGCUUCUUUGCUUUGCUCCAUGAGAACAGUAAUACGUUGUUUUCUUCUUAACUACAGCAGUGCAAAAAAGGGGUGGCAGCUGCUGUGGUUAAAGAAUACAAAUAUAUUCUUGUUGCUCAGCCUGAACCCGGCGCAGCAGUAGACAGCUUAAUUAGCCAUCCCGGGCUGGGUAACCAUUGCUGUCCUUUCUCAUUGCAUGUAAAAAUAAACACGGCUCAGCUCUGCAGCUGCGUGAUCAGGAAAUGUGUUGCAGAACCAAUAUAGAGAGGAGAAGAGAUGAAGAUGGGAGGAAAAGAAACGAAGACGGACGGCGAGCAGAAAAAGUGAUGUGCAGAUGCUGCAAGUGGCAGAGAGCAGCAGCAGGGAGCGUGGCCCUCCCCUGCUGGUGGUGUCAGCCUGGCUGCUGGGUUCCCAUUUAGCUGGCACGUCCUCAGCUGCAGGGCAGCCGGUGGGUGGUGUCUCUGGAGUCGGAGCUUGUCCUCCCCUGCUCCGAGUGCUGGCUUACAGGCAGCAGCAGCCUGGCAGGCAGAGAGUUGAUUUUGUGCAGCGCUUGCAUAAACACGCUGAUUAAACAGCGCUGUUGCUUCAGCUUCCCUUCCGACCUCCACCUGUUUGUGUAGAGGUGGCUUUUUGGGCUACAGGUUGUGUUUGGCUCUCAGCUAAGGUAGCCAAUGCUUUCUGAUCUCCUGCCGUAGGUACUUUGAUUUUGUUUCUGCAUUUAUUUAAAUAAGUGCUCUCUUCCAGGCAUCAAAGUGCACACUGCUUCCUUGGCUGCAGGUUUGGCUCGUGGCCGGCACUGCUGUGCUGCUGCUGUGUCUCGAUGAGGGGCCCGGGCUCUGCUGGGGUUGUUUGUGUGAGCAUUGAGAGCAGACAAGGAAAAUCACCUUGAGAGCUCAAUAACUAAUUAAACCUAUGUCUAAAAAAUACUUGGGGGCGUUUCUGUGUCACCACCCCUGAUGUGGUAGGCACCGACUCUGGCCUAUUGUCUCCCGCAGGGCUAAGCCGUAUUGUUCAUUUUUUAUUGAACGGUUCAGUGUUCUGAAAUACAAACAAGCAAAUGUUAGAUUUCACUGUUUUAAGGUGAUGAAUGGAUGAGGGUUAAAUACUGUGUCUGAGGCUAUGUAAUUUUAUAGAUUAAAAAAAAAAAAAGUCGUGCCACAGAUUCUGUAAGGCUCCAGCCCGCUGACUGAAGUCCCAAUAUUCUUUUGUAACCAGAGAAUAAUAAACAGAAAUUGAGCUGCCAGAAUAAAUCAAAUGUGAUAUUCAUUUAGAGUCACUUCCCUAGUGAAUUAUGACAGCUGGACAAUGUCCUUCCCAUCUAGGAGACACGGCGAGCUCUUUCUAGCCCAGAACAUAUUUAUUGAAAAGGGUUUCAGGUGAACGGCACGCCAGGAAGAAAUAGUGCUGUUUAUUAUUCUUUUGGCUACUGGCCAUUAAAACUGGCAUCUGCAACUGCCCGAAGAGGUCAGGCAUAACUUCUGCCAUCUGCUGCAGAGCUUGGUUCGAGGCGGGUCCGAGUGUGACCUUGCCUCGUGCUUCUGGGUCAAGAGGUAAUGAAUGCGCCGUGUCGUCCUGCUGUCCGAGGCUGGGGAGCAGGUCACAUUUUGUGCUGGUAAGAGAUGUUUUAUUCGUGAUGGUGUUAAAGGCAGGUUGCAAAGGAAGCCUGGGCUGUUCCCCAGCCAGCGCUGCUUGGUUUUGGGUGCCAGCAAAGCGAGAAGCCCAGCCUGAAAAUAGAAAUCCCAAUAACAGGCAGGAGAUUGUCUUACUAUGGAAUUUUUUCCUCCUCCCCUUUUUUUUGUUGUCUCCCAUUUUUGGUGAGUGGCAGUGUUUGUUCCAGCUGUGCUGUUUCCAUGCCUGUGGCAGGUGAGCUGUCAGCAUUUCCAUUCCGAAAUCCCAAUUUGUAGGGUUCGGGAUGCAGUCAUCCAUUUCCCCAUCUAGAUCUGGCCUCCUAAGGUCUAAACCUGACUAUGAAUUCACCUUGCGAAGUCUGAGCAGCACCAGCUCGACGGGUUGCUGAACUUGGCUGCAGGAUGUAAAACCUGUGCUGCUGCGACAGGACUGGGCGAUGCCAUACAACUGACAGCUGAAAAGGGCGCUGGCUUAACGCGGGAGUGAGCUUCAGGAGCUGGGCUGCAAGGUUUCAACCCUCACUACGUGGGACAUCGCCUCCUGCUUCACAUCUGCUGUCUGCCAGUGUCCGUGCAGCUACUCAGAGCAUGGAUUUUGAUUCCUGAGUAUGAUUUGGAGGGUUAAGUGAAGGGACAAGAGUAGCAAUUUUAAGCUCGGUGCAGUAUUGGAUGUAAUCUGCUUUGAUUUAAAGCCUCCUGUGCAGCUGUAGAGGUUAGGACUAGAGCUGAUGACAGAAAACUACAUUCUUUCGCGGCGAUUGUGGUGGUUACAUAGCAUUUGAUGAAUCCUAGGGUGGAAAUUUGCUAAAAUCAAAACCAAGGGUGAUGAGUGUCUCACAGGUUUGUCUGCUCAGGGGAAUUAUCUGGGUAUCUGUGGUGUGUUGUCACAGUGCUCUAAUGGACAAGCCCUCUUGGCUUUAGCUGCAGCAGUUUAUCCAUCGCUGUAAAACUUAAGAGCUUUCUCUAAAAUGAAAUCAGACUGAGAAUAAAAGUGUAUUUCUAGCCUUUCUCGGUCUGGAGGGACUCAUUUGUGUGGGAUUUUAGUGGCAGAAAUUGUUAGGCUGGUCACACUAUGCAAGGGUUUCUUUGAAAUCUGCAGCUGAGGCUCCUUUGAGAAUCAGGGAUGGGAACUUAUUUUUAGUCAUGGUCCAGAUUUUCAUUGAUCUGGGCUGUAAGUGUGGCAGCAAAUGAAAGAAGCAUUAACACACUGUAUUCAAGAGUGGGGACCGAUCCAGGAGCGUUAAAUUCUCAGCAUCCUGACCACAGCCCAAUUUGUAGCAUUAAAAAUACAUUUGGAUGCUGUGAAUUUGGCAGAUGUGUCAGGCGUCUAUAAAAUACUUAGUAGAGGGCAGCUUUCUGAUGUGAGUAGCGACAUCCAAUUGAAAUGUAUAUUGGCUAGAAGGAAAUAAAACUAGCACGUUUCUAGAACAACACCAGGGAGCAUAUGGAACCUAUCAAGGUAUUUUAAAACCCUUGCUGGGGACAGAACAGUGUUGGUUCAGAUUGUCCCAAAGCUCAGAGUUUCCUAAGCAAGCAAACUGCCUCUGAAAAUUUGUUCUUUCCCCAAAUAAACAAUGUUUUGUAGUAACACGCUCUUUUAAUUCCUCUGUUUGCAUAUUUUCUAGCACUUCAGUAUUUGUUUACUUGCGCAAGAUUCCUGAUGGGAUGAAUGUCUAGAAAUCAGCACACCCACCAAGGAGACACCGCUGCUCGGCUGGAGGGAUGCGGUGGCUCUGUAGCAGGGGGCAGAAGCUGUGCCUGGGGUGGGGAGGGAAGGAGAAUGCUAUGCCCAUUUGCAGCAGCUCUGGGGAUUUGCAGAGGCUGUAAUUCACUGAGUUUGGUUUUAGGCUCGAACACUGUUGCUAAUGCUGUUUUUGGUGGUGUGAACUUCGUACUGUAAGUCGCGGGAACGUUAACUUUCAAAGGACGCUUCACUUCGAAAUGCUGAAUUCUAAAUUCGUGCCAGUAUUGCUCCGUUAGGCUUGGUCUCAUCCCGCUUCUCACUUGGCUUGUUUUAUUUCCUCCUUUUGCUGGUUGGAAGAUCAAGAUAAAAAGGUGCCACAAGUGACGAUGUGCAGACUGACCUUAGAAGUUGCUUGGGACGAUGCCAAGGAAAUAUUUUUUAGGCCGUCUUUUUCUUCGUGAUUCAUGCUUUAACUGCUCCCUCUUGUUUCAUACUGGUGUUCGAUGGACUCCUUUCCUGUUGCAUCUCAAGGUGAAGAGGGUUAAAGAGCUGCAGCUGAUUCAUGUGCUGUGCUUUUCCCUCCUGCUUUGGAGAAGAUGAUGAAGACCUGUGUAGCUCAAGGUCUGUCCAGCUUACCUGGGGGUGACGUGUGCUACAGAGUUGGGUUUUCCAAGUCCUGUGUGCGUCUUCUCAGCAUUCUGCAUUAAAUCACUUUUGUUAACGCAGGAGCAGGGGAGUUUCCACUGUAUAAACACAGACUGGCUGGAAAAUGGGGUUGCUUAAAAUCCAUCCAGUUCUUAAAUUAGAAGACCCCUUUCCCCCUGCAAGAACUGGCUGAGGAGCCUGUUUGCAGUCCCUCGUUUGUAGGUGCUGGGGCUGUGCUGACCCAUGCCUGGCAGGCAGGUGAGACACCCCAUGCCAGAGAAGGGGCAAGCGAUGUGCAGCCAAGCCUGUUGCCUUGCAUCGCACGCUCCAUCUUGCUCCAUUGCUGGUCCUGCCCUCUUCCUAAAUUCACUGGUUUCAGAGCAGCUGGGGUGCCCUGGGGAUAAACAGCUCAGCAAAAGGCACUUGGGCACCAUGACUGAUCGCUCCCCUCUCGGGCAGAGUCCUGCCAGAGUUGUGUUUCUCAGCUGGUGUCUGGCAUCCAGGGACCACAGAGGUUGCACGAAGCUUUAACAAAUAAUGCUGAUGGGUUAAUCAUAGCUUACAGGCUCGCUUGCUGAUUAGAGUCAUACGGUGUUCGUCCAGGGCAUUGCAAGCUUAAUUUUGACAUCCGUGUAUCAUUAUAAGCAUAACAGAUCAUGUAUCCACUUUAUUUAUUAGUGGUCCUCAGCCCUUGAAAUGAACUGCCCUUUUAGGGAAGGAAAUACAAUAACGUAGCUUUUGCAGGCCAGUUGGGAGUGCCAUAAAUUUGCAUGUAUGGUGAGGAAACCAGUAAAUAAUAUUGCAAGGUGACCCCUGUGUCAGGCCACAACAGCAAGAUUGGUGGGUGUUGUUCAUCGUGUAA